rnacentral:lncRNA from 1 species
CUUCCCUUUAGGCUCUGUGAAUGUGUGUGUGUGUGUGUGUGUAUCAAUAUUUCUCCCAUUUUAAAGUAUUACUCCUCCAUAAUUGGAUUUCUCUUAAAUCAAAGUACUUUUACUACAUCUUAGUACUUCUGCUCAAU